AUUGAACGCUGGCGGCAGGCCUAACACAUGCAAGUCGAACGAGUGGCGGACGGGUGUGUAACGUCUGGGAAACUGCCCGAUAGAGGGGGAUAACUACUGGAAACGGUAGCUAAUACCGCAUACCAUCGGAUGUGCCCAGAUGGGAUUAGCUAGUAGGGGGGGUAACGGCUCACCUAGGCGACGAUCCCUAGCUGGUCUGAGAGGAUGACCAGCCACACUGGAACUGGGACACGGUCCAGACUCCUAAGGGAGGCAGCAGUGGGGAAUAGGGCGCAGUGGGCGCAAGCCUGAUGCAGCCAUGCCGCGUGUAUGAAGAAGUCCUUCGGGGUGUAAAGUACUUUCAGCGGGGGGGCGUUACUCGCAGAAGAAGCACCGGCUAACUCCGUGCCAGCAGCCGCGGUAAUAC
rnacentral:rRNA from 1 species